rnacentral:rRNA from 1 species
GAUGAACGCUGGCGGCGUGCCUAAUACAUGCAAGUCGAGCGAACGGACGAGAAGCUUGCUUCUCUGAUGUUAGCGGCGGACGGGUGAGUAACACGUGGAUAACCUACCUAUAAGACUGGGAUAACUUCGGGAAACCGUAGCUAAUACCGGAUAAUAUUUUGAACCGCAUGGUUCAAAAGUGAAAGACGGUCUUACUGUCACUUAUAGAUGGAUCCGCGCUGCAUUAGCUAGUUGGUAAGGUAACGGCUUACCAAGGCAACGAUGCAUAGCCGACCUGAGGGGGUGAUCGGCCACACUGGAACUGAGACGCGGUCCAGACUCCUACGGGAGGCAGCAGUAGGGAAUCUUCCGCAAUGGGCGAAAGCCUGACGGAGCAACGCCGCGUGAGUGAUGAAGGUCUUCGGAUCGUAAAACUCUGUUAUUAGGGAAGAACAUAUGUGUAAGUAACUGUGCACAUCUUGACGGUACCUAAUCAGAAAGCCACGGCUAACUACGUG